AACGAACGCUGGCGGCGUGCCUAACACAUGCAAGUCGAGCGAGAAAGUUCCUUCGGGAGCGAGUAAAGCGGCGCACGGGUGAGUAACACGUAGGUAACCUGCCCCUAAGUCUGGAACAACUGGAGGAAACUCCAGCUAAUGCCGGAUAAGACCACGAUUUCUUCGGAGAUCGCGGCCAAAGAUGGCCUCUACUUGUAAGCUAUCGCUGAGGGAUGGGCCUGCGGGUCAUAGCUAGUUGGUGAGGUAAUGGCUCACCAAGGCAGUGAUGACUAGCUGGUCUGAGAGGAUGACCAGCCACACUGGGACUGAGACACGGCCCAGACUCCUACGGGAGGCAGCAGUGGGGAAUAUUGCGCAAUGGGCGAAAGCCUGACGCAGCGACGCCGCGUGGGUGAUGAAGGCCUCGGU
rnacentral:rRNA from 1 species